rnacentral:rRNA from 1 species
GACGAACGCUGGCGGCGUGCCUAACACAUGCAAGUCGAACGAGUCCACCCUUCGGGGUGAGGCGAGUGGCGGACGGGUGAGUAACACGUGAGCAACCUGUCUCUGUGUGGGGGAUAACCCGGGGAAACCCGGGCUAAUACCGCAUGGGCGGAGACUUCGAGUGGAGACUCCGGGGAAGUUGGCCUCUUUGCAAUGCUGACGCGCAGGGAGGGGCUCGCGGGCUAUCAGCUAGCUGGUGAGGUUACGGCUCACCAGGGGCGACGACGGCUAGGGGGGUCUGAGAGGACGACCCCCCACAUUGGAACUGAGACACGGUCCAGACUCCUACGGGAGGCAGCAGUGGGGAAUUUUGGGCAAUGGCCGCAAGGCUGACCCAGCGACGCCGCGUGCGGGAGGACGCCUCGGUGUGAACCGCUGUCAGGGGGGAAGAAUGCCGGGGCAGAGAAUACCUGUUCCGGUGACGGUACCCUCAAAGGAAGCGCCGGCUAACUCCGUGCCAGCAGCCGCGGUAAGACGGAGGGCGCGAGCGUUGUUCGGAAUCACUGGGCGUAAAGCGCGCGCAGGCGGGACUAGCAAGUCGGAAGUGAAAUUUCGGGGCUCAACUCCGAGGCUGCUUCCGAAACUGCGGACCUGGAGACUGGUAGAGGUGGGUGGAAUUCCCGGUGUAGCGGUGGAAUGCGUAGAGAUCGGGAAGAACACCGGUGGCGAAGGCGGCCCACUGGGCCAGUUUCUGACGCUGAGGCGCGAAAAGCGUGGGGGAGCAAACAGGAUUAGAUACCC